rnacentral:rRNA from 1 species
UGGGGAAUAUUGCACAAUGGGCGCAAGCCUGAUGCAGCCAUGCCGCGUGUGUGAAGAAGGCCUUCGGGUUGUAAAGCACUUUCAGCGGGGAGGAAGGCGGUGAGGUUAAUAACCUCAUCGAUUGACGUUACCCGCAGAAGAAGCACCGGCUAACUCCGUGCCAGCAGCCGCGGUAAUACGGAGGGUGCAAGCGUUAAUCGGAAUUACUGGGCGUAAAGCGCACGCAGGCGGUCUGUCAAGUCGGAUGUGAAAUCCCCGGGCUCAACCUGAGAACUGCAUUCGUAACUGGCAGGCUAGAGUCUUGUAGAGGGGGGUAGAAUUCCAGGUGUAGCGGUGAACUGCGUGGAGAUCUGGAGGAAUACCGGUGGCGAAGGCGGCCCCCUGGACAAAAACUGACGCUCAGGUGCGAAAGCGUGGGGAGCAAACAGG